GCCAGGCAUGGUGGCAUGUACCUGUAGCCUCAGCUACUUAUGAGGCUGAGGCAAGAGGAUCAUUUGAGCCUAGGAGUUCAAGACCAGCCUGGGCAACAUGGUGAGAUCCUGUCUUAA
rnacentral:sRNA from 1 species